rnacentral:rRNA from 1 species
GACGAACGCUGGCGGCGUGGAUUAGGCAUGCAAGUCGAACGGUAUCAUCCUUUCGGGGGUGAGAGAGUGGCGAACUGGUGAGUAACACGUAGGUUAUCUACCCUCAAGACGGGGACAACCCAGGGAAACUUGGGCUAAUACCGGAUGUGAGCAACUUUUUAGUUGUUUGAAAGGUGGCGUAAGCUGUCGCUUGGGGAUGAGCCUGCGUCCUAUUAGUUAGUUGGUGAGGUAACGGCUCACCUAGGCAAUGAUAGGUAGGCGGCCUUAACGGGUGGUCGCCCACACUGGGAUUGAGAUACGGCCCAGACUCCUACGGGAGGCAGCAGUCGAGAAUAGUCUACAAUGGUCGGAAGACUGAUAGUGCGACGCCGCGUGAACGAUGAAUCCCUUCGGGGUGUAAAGUUCUUUUAUAUGUGAGCAGUGCUUCUUAUAUUAACAGUAUGGGGAGAGAGAUAUUAGCAUAUGAAUAAGCAACGGCUAACUCCGUGCCAGCAGCCGCGGUAAGCACG